GACGAACCGUCCAAACGUUAUUCGGAAUUACUGGGCUUAAAGGGCGCGCAGGCGGCCAUGUGUGUGAGGCGUGAAAGCCCGGGGCUUAACCCCGGAAUUGCACCUCAAACUACAUGGCUAGAGCAUUGGAGAGGGUAGCAGAAUUCAUGGUGUAGCAGUGAAAUGCGUAGAUAUCAUGAGGAAUACCAGAGGCGAAGGCGGCUACCUGGACAAUUGCUGACGCUCAGGCACGAAAGCGUGGGGAGCAAAAGGG
rnacentral:rRNA from 1 species